rnacentral:lncRNA from 1 species
CGGUGGCAAGAUCGAAUAAACACAACGACUAGACUGGUAGUACACGAAAAAGGUUCGGGCUCCCGGGUCGUAUCUUCUUUCUUUUUUACGGGAAUCCCGACUCGUAUCAUGCGUCAUAAGCAUACACAAAAAAAAAACGUUAUUCAGUUGUCUAGACCUAAUUAGUUAACGGUAGUAAGAUGGAGGUGGUUAAACAAAAUAAGGGGGCAGCUCACUCCCAGAGCAGAGCACCGCGUGGAUGGUAAGCUGCGGUGGGUUCCAACCCAGCCCGCUUACCGUUUAAGUUUUUUUUUUUUACGAAAAGAGCAACGUGCUUUUCAUUGUCAAAGUGGUUGAGAAGAACUCAAGAAGUAAAUAGAAGAUUAAAAAGGAAGAAAACGAGAGGUAAAAAAAAACAGACACACCAAUCUAAGGAACAUCAUCAUUUGCAAAAAAAAUGGCACCUAGCCUUAAUCUAUCCGCCUCUCUCCAUAAUCUAGCGUCAUCCUGGAUGAGAUCAAUGAGAUCAACAACGGCCGACGCUAGGUGCCGAAAAGCUUUGAAGAUCCUACUAUUCCUCUUCCUACAGAUAUUCCAAAGGGUCAACAACAAGAGGGCAGUGGCCCCCUUGACCUCCGCCUUCGAGCAAUUAACAACAAUGGCACCCAUCCUGGCGCACCACCAUUAAUUCCUUGAUCGAGUAAGGUGCAGCCCACGUCGCCGGAU